CGGUGAGGUAUGAACUGAUUUAGGAAAUAGAUAGAAUGACAAGCGAAAGGAAAAAGUGGGAAUUCUAGUGAAGGCGUAUUGGGAUAGUGAAAACCGUGAUGACUAUGUUCAAAGAAACUUAAGGUAAACGAUGAUGAUAAUGGCUGACCGGGAGGCUAAUUUAUAUAAUGCUAUUCUCAAACAGCCAUAAUGAAUGCAAGAUGUAACAACAAUACAUGAAACAUUAAACAAAGAGCAACAAGCUAUUCACCAAAGAAAUGCUUACCUUCCUGGUUGUCAUGAAAAGAGCUGUCUUAGAGGACCUUAAGACAAUAGCCAUUGCUAUAGCUAAGAAUAUAUUGUUCCAGAAGAUCGUCGUCUCUACUUUUCCUCCCUUAUGCUCUAGUUGUCCCCAAAAUUCCCCCUCUUUUCCAAAACUUUUUUCAAUCCUCCUCUUUUGCUCCCAAAAUCCUUAACCAUUUUUCUCUGUCCUCCAGUUGCAGAAUCCCAAAAAUAUUCUUUCUAAACCAACUUGUCCCCCACGCU
rnacentral:lncRNA from 1 species